GAUGAACGCUGGCGGCGUGCCUAAUACAUGCAAGUCGAACGAAACUUCUUUAUCACCGAGUGCUUGCACUCACCGAUAAAGAGUUGAGUGGCGAACGGGUGAGUAACACGUGGGCAACCUGCCCAAAAGAGGGGGAUAACACUUGGAAGCAGGUGCUAAUACCGCAUAACCAUAGUUACCGCAUGGUAACUAUGUAAAAGGUGGCUAUACUACCGCUUUUGGAUGGGCCCGCGGCGCAUUAGCUAGUUGGUAGGGUAAAGGCUUACCAAGGCAAUGAUGCGUAGCCGAAUUGAGAGGGUGAUCGGCCACAUUGGAACUGAGACACGGCCCAAACUCCUACGGGAGGCAGCAGUAGGGAAUCUUCCACAAUGGGCGAAAGCCUGAUGGAGCAACGCCGCGUGGGUGAAGAAGGUCUUCGGAUCGUAAAACCCUGUUGUUAGAGAAGAAAGUGCGUGAGAGUAACUGUUCACGUUUCGACGGUAUCUAACCGGAAAGCCACGGCUAACUACGUG
rnacentral:rRNA from 1 species